UACCAGCACCCCGAGUGGUCGGGACGAUUAUUGGGCCUAAAGCAUCCGUAGCCGGUUCUGCAAGUCCUCCGUUAAAUCCAACUGCUUAACAGAUGGGCCGCGGAGGAUACUACAGAGCUAGGAGGCAGGAGAGGCAAGCGGUACUCAGUGGGUAGGGGUAAAAUCCGUUGAUCCAUUGAAGACCACCAGUGGCGAAGGCGGCUUGCCAGAAUGCGCUCGACGGUGAGGGAUGAAAGCUGGGGGAGCAAAAAGG
rnacentral:rRNA from 1 species